CUUGUCCUGUUCUGUUCCCGAGCCCUUGCUUCCUUCCCCCAGUUCUAGCCCCCUUGUUCCUGAGUCCUUUUGUUACUACGCUCUGUCUCCCCGCCGUGACAUAUUACUUACGGGACUGAGACAGCUGGCAGGGCAGAAACUGUAAGAGAAAAAAGAGGAGCUUUGGAGGCCAGAGAGAGAGAAGGGCUUUAUUGGACAGUAUAUAGUAUAGAGAGAAAGGAAGAAUAGGAGCGAGAGCGGGAAAGACAUGCGAC